GGAAAGCAGGAACACUUUCUUUUGGUUCUGUAGCGCCGGGAAAAGCGAUGAACUUGUGGACAGCGAUGCUUUAACAGGCAAAAAGAGAAAAUUCUUGUAUUCGCAGCCAAGGUAGUAGAUGGUACAUUAAUUAAAAUAAUGAACAAAAAAGGCUUGGCAAUUUUGAUGCGAACAAGAAUGAAAGCUCCCAGCGAUCCAAACAAGCUACCUCUCUUACCUCUCACUGGCAAGGUUAAUCAAAUGCUAACCAAUUUUGAGGGAAACCCGUUCGAUUCUAGUGUUUCGCAAGCUGCUGCAGAGGAAGGACAAGGACCCAACAAGCUUAAUCGCCCCACUAACAUCGAGAGGGAUUUCGAUGCUGUGCGGGAAUCUAUGCACUCUGCCAUAUCGUUGAACAAAACUGAGGUUCUGGAUGUGGUGCUUAAUGAUUUCUCCGAGGGUUACUUUGGCCUUUCCUUUGAAAGUCGCCGGAAAUUAUUGCUCACGCUUGCCCAAGUGUAUGAUCUUAAUAGGACACAAGUUCGUGACCUCAUCAAACAAUAUCUUGGACUUGAACUUCCUGGCAGUAAUGCAAGUGAAUCUAGUACUGUCGAUGAGGAAGCCAUGCUUUCUUGUUUCUAUCGCCUAGAACGGAACUUGAGACAAGUUCUUAAGCCAGCAUAUGAACUCCUUUUUGAACGACUUAACAACCACCCUGGGGGAUUGAGGUUCCUGUCCAUUCUUCGGGCUGACAUUUUAUCUAUUCUCGCAGAGGAAAACAUUGCAUCUUUGCGAGCACUAGAUUCCUACUUAAAGGAAAAACUUAAUACAUGGCUUAGUCCUGCUGCAUUGGAGCUUCACCAGAUUACAUGGGAUGAUCCUGCUUCUUUGCUGGAGAAAAUUGUGGCUUAUGAGGCAUGUUUCUUUAAACUGUCUUGUGCUGCUCACCCUCUUUGAUAUUUUUGGGUAUUAGCUAUGUAUUUUCUAAUAAUGGUGUUUGUGCAGGCUGUGCAUCCAAUCAGCAAUCUUUUAGAUCUUAAAAGAAGGUUGGGUGUUGGUCGUCGUUGUUUUGGAUAUUUACAUCCAGCAAUACCUGGUUAGCAAAUCUGUUCACUGCUGCUGGACAAUAACUACCAGGAAAAAAAAAUCUAUCAAUAAACUGGCUCUACUAAUGUAUUUAAUCUGCUUCUAGACUUAGUAUUACAGCCCUAUAUAUAUCAUAAGCUCCUAUUCGAAACAAGUCUUCAUUUUAAAAAUCCUAACAUUAUUAGGUUUUGAACAUAAAAUCCUAUUAGAGUUAGUUUUUGGCCAAAAUAAUGUAAUUAAAGAUUAAGAAAGAGACAACAGUGACACACUACAAUAGUAAGAACAGUAAAAUAAUUCUAAAUUUUCUCUCCUGCAUCAUCUUCCCAGUGCAGUUACCUUGCACAACAAAAUGGAGAUGUCUUGCCAGUAAAAUAUUGUGUUGAUUAUCCUAUUUAUCAGUAGAUUAUUGCAUUUAUUGAUGAGAGACAUGAAUCUGUUAUAGCACAACAGUAAAAUUCUUUUGUAGAAUCAGGGUUGACUCAACAAAUUAUGGAUUUUGACAGUGGUAAUAUUUAUAGAUAACUUGGCCCCUACUAUUUAUGCCUGUCCAUGCAACUGAGUUGUAGGGUUGGCAUUAACAUACUGAAAUUUAAUUGAAUUCUCUUGGCUUUAUUUUAUUGCUAAGUUACUUGAGGCAGUCUGAUUUUAAAAUCUUUCUUUUUUUCAGGUGAACCCCUUAUUUUUAUAGAAGUUGCCCUUCUAAGGAAUGUGGCUCAGACAAUACAGGAAGUUCUAUGGGACACUCCUCCCAUACCUGAAUCUGAGGCAACGUGUGCAUUAUUUUAUUCUAUAUCAUCAACUCAGGUAAAAUUAGUUAUUGGCCAUUCUCUUUUCGUUUUAGAUUAAAAGCAUAUUUUGUUUUACAAAAAUCAGGUUCUACCACUUGUCAUGAGGUGAAAAUGAACUGUCAAUUAUAGUGUGUUUAAUCUGUCUGCCAUAGUUAAAAUAUAACUAUGGAAAAUCAUACUUGAAUGUAACUGUUCUACACAUUCUCUAUGCCUAACUUGGAAUUUUCGUCUUUUUGAUUGUCACACAUGCCCAAAUACUGGCUUUCUUCUUUUGUUUGCCUGUUUUUGCCCUUUUACCGAUGAGAGAAAAAGAGCAUUCAUAUAAGUUGGUGAACUUUAAAAUUGCAAGUGAACGAGUGAGCGUUUUAAAUAGCAUUUGUGGACAAUGUGGUAAAAAAACUUGUUAUUCUUUAUUUUUAUAUUUCUGCUUGAGCAUCAAUUAUUUUUUCUCUUCAAGGAAAAUGAAUAACAAACUCCGAUUAUAUGCUUCCCUGUACCUGAACUGCUUACUUACUGAAACUUGACAGCCUGGCUUGGCAGGGAUCAACCUGGGAAAGUUUCUUAUCAAACGUGUCAUUACACUGGUUAAAAGAGAUAUGCCCCAUAUAUCUGUAAGUAUUUUCUAAUCAAAUUCAUAUAAAGGUAAAAAACCAGGAUGUUUAUUGAACUCGUAUUCCUGUGAUGCAUAUUAUUCCAUGAAAGCAAGCAUGAUACGGUUACAUUUCUUUAAUGCAAGUUUUCAGCAAUGUUUAUUUAAGCAAUCUUAAUAUCACAAAGCUAUGGAUGGGACCAGUUAGAUUUGUCAUCAUACCUGAAACUCUUGGGUUGCUGUUAUCGCUCUUGAAUCGAUUGUCCUUAAUAUUUUGCAUAGAUUUCAAAACUUCAUUAUUGGAAGUGGCACCAGAAAGUCAAGAUUAAUUUCAACAAUGUAAAACAAAGAUUUAUAUAAAAUCAUGAUUUUGCAUUCAAAUUGCACUAAAAGAAAGAGGUAAAACCUGCGAGUGACUUCUGGGAAUUGCAUUUUUUUCAAGUUCUUAUUUUUUUUGGACCUAAAAAAUAUUUAGACAACCUUUUUGGGACCAUUGAGGGUAAUAUAAUCAGAACGUUCCAUGACAAACUUGAAAGUAUUGUGCAGUAAUAUUUUAUCAAUAUCUUAUUUUGUAAUUAAGCUAAUUGCUAUAUUUGCACACUCGAUCAAAAAGAAAUUAGAAGGAAUGGGCUAUGAAGUUAUUGGUUUGCAUAUCUUCUAGUUUGUUGCUUGGUAUCAUGACUUCCAAAUCUGGCUUCUGGCAUCACCUAUUAAUACAUACAUAUAUUUUUUUUUCUUUCCAAAGACAUUUGCAACUAUAAGCCCAAUUCCUGGAUACAUGCAAUGGCUGCUAUCUAAGUUGGCAUCUCAGUCAAUCCUUGCUGAAGUGGAGAACAUGUCACAAUCAUCUUCAAGCGGAUCUUUUUCCACUUUCAGGGAAAACUUACUUGAACCAGAUGAAGAAAGAUUACUUUUGAGUUGUUCUCAGUAAGUUUUAUGUUUAGUUCAUUUUAUGUUUUAAAUUGAAUAGGCUUUUAAUUUCGAUAUUUCCACUAUGGUCUUUUCUUUUUCAUCCUUAUGAGAGUCUAGCUUCUCUUUAAGAUUUUUUUCCCCCAAGAUGAACUCAACUCAACUAAGCCUUAACCUCAAAUUAAUUGGUGUUAAACUGUAUGAUUCUUUUCCUCCAUUCCUCCCGGUUUAAAGCUAAUAGGGUUUUUUCUUGAAAAAAUAAAUUUUUGUGUCUGUAUUUGUAAUAAAGUGGAUUUUACCAAAAAAUUAAAAAAGAAAAAAAGGAAGAAGAACGAGGCACCAUCAACCUUUUUGAAAGUAGGGAUUGGAUAUGUGGUCUUGCUAUUCUUUUCUACAAGGUUUUUUCUUUCCUUUUUUAUUUUUUGCCUUUUCUACUUUUGUACUUCCCACAAACUUUAUUUUCCAUCAAGUCUUCACUUUCUUCACUAUCAAACUUCUCUAUCUUCUAACCACAAUAGACCCUGAAGCCCCAUUAAGCCAUUCUUACUAAUCUCCUAUCUUACUAGCUUUGGCUCAAAACAGAAGUGCAAAUAGAUAGAUUACUGAAAUCUCUCUUUAGAUAGUUUGGAAUGAGAUAAUGAAAUAUCUCAUGGAUCUAGAGUUAUUGUUGUCAGCUAUCCAAAUCAGGCAGUUUGACAACCAAAUAACCUAGCAAUUAAAAGCGGAGGAUUUCUUUGGCAGUUAUUGCUAUUCAAUCUGUCUUAAAAUGAUCUGAAAUCCCUGCUUGUAUAUUUUCUGUGGAAAAUAAUUAAACUUGUCCAAUGCUUGUAUGUUGAAGUUAUCAGAUUAUGUUUCCAAAUGAGCUGCAUUAGACAUUGUUUGAAGGAAGAAGAACCAUUUGGAACCACUUAUAAAGAUGGUAGUGGUUUCUCGUAGAUGUAAUAUGGAUUUUUAAUCCUCAAUGCUAUCAGUUAUCUUCAAAACUCUACUUUGUUUAUAUGACCUUUCCAAGAUCCUUCAUGGUAUGCUCUGUCUUUGGCACCUGAUAGUAACUUUGGCUGCCUCUUCUCCAUCUCAUGGUUUUGAAAUUUCAGCUACACAGCAACAUUGCUUUUCAUGCACUGUAAUGCUUUCACUUGUAGGGAGUCUUUUCCUGGAAAAAAUGGCAUGGAUGUCAUGUUGAAGUUGUUGACAUCUACAAAAUAUGAAUGGACCAGUUCACCUGAAUUGCUUUCAGCACUAAAGCCCCCUCUAAUGCGACUGUGUGCCAGGUAUCUGAUGAAGUUUAAAAUCAAUAUCUCAUAUCUGUAAAUUGAAAUGAUUGGUGAGUCUAAUUGGCAACACAUGGGUCUUAGAACCAAGUAUACUGGAGAUGAUCAUGUUUUCCAGUUCUUCUACUGUUUCAUAAAGCUUGUACUACUGGCUUUUCUAAAGUGCAAUUCAGAGAUGUUGUUUCUAUGAGUGCAGGUACCUUCUGGAAGAAAAAAAGAGAGGAAAAGCUCUUGAUUCUGUUGCAAAUUUUCACUUGCAAAAUGGAGCGGUAUGUUGUACAACCUCAAUCUGUGAAGUAGUAAUUGAGUCCUUCCUGGAAUUCACAUCAAUGGACAGAACUAUUGUAGUUUCUUAGUUAACAUUUAUAUUUCUUAUUUUACUAUGGAUUGAUUUGGAAAGGAUUGUUACAGUAGAUGUAGAGGUUGAAUGUGUUUUUAAGGAGUGCAUUUUAACAAAUAGAGAGUGGGCAACCCAGAAGCAGCAAGCUUCCUAAGUUAAGAAGUUCUAUAAAUUAAUUUCUGAUAUUUGAUGAUCAACAGAUGAUUGAAAGAAUAAAUUGGAUGGCAGACCGAUCUGAGAAAGGCCUUCGUCAAAGUGGAGGUAUCAUGGUGAACUAUGUUUACAGGGUUGAGAAAAUUGAUGAAUAUGCUCAGUCGUACUUCAGCACUGGGCAUAUACAUGCUUCCAAUGACAUCCGUCGGUAUACUAUGGUAAUUUGUUGUCCAUAAAGAGAAUUAAGUUACACUUCCUUGCAAUAGUUGACAUUGAUUAUGCUUUGCCUCCUUUUCACGCACAAAGAUAGAGAGAGAUGAGAAAUCAGUUAUGAUUAUGAAUCCUUUCUUUUAUUUACCAUAUUUAAAUUGGCUAUGUUUUGCAGCCAUGGAAGGGACAUGAAGUGACAACAGUUUAGGCUUGCAGGAAAAUACUCAAAAGAGUAAAUAAUUUUGCUUUUCUGUUUAGGCAGAACUUGCACAGUUGGUCAUGUACUCAUUGCUAACAUAUUAAAUGGUGCCAAUCAAACUGGGUAAAAACUCCUGAAAUCCAGAUACCGCAAUUGAGGGUACCAUUACAAGUAAAAUAUUGUUGGCAGUGUCUCCAGAGUGAAGUUGCUUUCCUCAUAAAGCGGUUCUUGUUUCUAUGGCGUUUGGCCUCCAACAAUUUCCAUUCUCUGGCUGAACUUUCAGAACAUAUAUACCAAGAAGAUGUAUAUACCUUAUCAAUUCAAUUCUAUCUAUUGCAUUUAUUAUAAUAAUGGAUGAUACGACAUAAUGUUUGUUUAAGACACUGCGGUGCUGGUGCUCAGUGUUUGAUCACUUGUCACUUUCUGCGUCUAUAUGACUGGCUUCCAAGACAAAAUCUCUCAUGAGCCUCAUGUUAGAGUCAUUGACCAUCUGCAAGAAAAACAAGAAGCAAAUGCGAAGACGAAAGAAAUAAAGAUGAUUAAAUAUCUACCAUCAGCUGAGGAAAAUCACAAACGAAAUAAACUGGGCUCUGACCUUGUUAGCGAAUCGCUUCAAGUUGUCCCAUUCA
rnacentral:misc_RNA from 1 species